rnacentral:rRNA from 1 species
GACGAACGCUGGCGGCGUGCUUAACACAUGCAAGUCGAACGGAGAUUCAGCAAUGGAUCUUAGUGGCGAACGGGUGAGUAACGCGUAGGCAAUCUGCCUUCUAGAUGGGGACAACAUCCCGAAAGGGGUGCUAAUACCGAAUGUUGUAUGAUCUUCGCAUGGAGAUGAUACUAAAGGUGGCCUCUGAAUAUGCUACCGCUAGAAGAUGAGCCUGCGUCUGAUUAGCUAGUUGGAGGGGUAACGGCCCACCAAGGCUUCGAACAGUAGCCGGUCUGAGAGGAUGAACGGCCACACUGGGACUGAGACACGGCCCAGACUCCUACGGGAGGCAGCAGUGGGGAAUCUUCCGCAAUGGACGAAAGUCUGACGGAGCAACGCCGCGUGAGUGAAGAAGGUUUUCGGAUCGUAAAGCUCUUUCGUUAGGGACGAACGUGCUCUUUGUGAAUAAUGAGGAGUAAUGACGGUACCUAAAUAAGAAGCCACGGCUAACUACGUGCCAGCCGCCGCAGUAA